CGACUAUUCCUAAGAGCCAAAUUUAACAACACAUCCAGCCUCAGACUCAGAAAAGAUGGAAGGUCAUAUAUAAAUUUUUUUAAAUGAGUGAAAAAGAGAGAAGAGGUGAAUAAAUGUGAGAACCAGGGAAAGCAGAAUAAAAAGGAUACAAGGAAAGAUGAAGGGGAGAAUAAGGAGAAAUGGGAGGUAGGAGGAAGAAGUGAGUGACUCAUUUGUUCUACUCACAUACACUGAGGACCAAUAUUUGACCCAGCAACUAUACCCCAGACCAUUUGCAUCAUGCUUGGAGUAUACUGUUAGAAUACAGAAAGGCAGCUGUGUAAAGAAAUAAGGGUCAUGAAAUCUGAUGAAGAGUUAUGAGGUCAUAUACAAGAAGGUGGGAAAAUAAGGAGAUCAUCAGAAAAAAAAAAAGACUCAGAAGAAAACUAGUGGUUUUUUGUUGCUGUUUUGUGUUGUUUUUAUCAACUCUGUGCCAGCCACUCUGACAAUUCACAGAUGCCAUCUCAUUUGUAAAACCAUCUCAUCUGGUCCCUGGACUUCGGGACUCAUUCUGCUCAACUUGAUCCCCACUCUGCCCAUUGAUCACAUACACACGUUUACACCUGGCAGAAGAGGAAGAGGAGGCAUGAAGGAAUGGCCUCUUCAGAAUGGAGAAAAGCCUUCCCCAUGAGAACAUGCCUAAGACAGACUGCUGAAGAAGGCGGCAAUCAGCGCCUGGAACAGCGCUGAAUCAGGCUGAAUCAGCCUGGUCAUCCCAGUCAAGCCUCCAGACAUGUAAGCACCCUCCUCUGAUCUGCAGAGCUGCCUGGCCCAAAUACUGUUGACCACUCUUGAGUAAGCCCCACUAAGAUCAGCUGAGAACAGUAGAACUGACCAGAUGACUCUAACCUCA